GCGGGAGUGGUGAAACUGGCAGACACGCAGGAUUUAGGUUCCUGUGCCUUUGGGCGUGCGGGUUCAAGUCCCGCCUUCCGCA
rnacentral:tRNA from 1 species